GUUGCACCGUUUCCUCAUCGACGGGACGGAAUGUCAGGCCGUGGGGACUGUGACUGGGAAGUGUAAGUUGGGAUUAACUCGCAGACCGGAGCGCUGACCCGGGUGGUCCUAGACUCCCUCAGGCUGCCAGGAAAAAGCCAAGUUAGGGGCCCAGAAAUACACACAGUGCCUUGGGCGACCCUCAAAUAGGAUGUGAGCGAAAAUCAUCAAAGGAGUCCACACUGCUGUGCACCGAAGAGCCCGAGCGCCGGAGUGUUUGCUUUUAUGAACCUUGGGACCAUCGCAAGUUUACCACGUAGUGAAUGUUGGAAAUGAUCGAUUGAGCGAUUGCAUCAAAGAGCAAAGGCAAACUGUCUACUAAGCCAGAAUUAGAACCCACAUUUCUAUGGCUUAGUUCAGUGUUUGUUCAUCAGGAACGAAUAGACCUUCGACUCCUGCACUUUGCCCAGCAGUGGCUGGACUGUCACCCCUCUCUUCUGAGGGAAGAGAAGAGCCAACCUGAGGGCUGACUGAAGUCACUUAUGAAAAGCAAAAGGUCUGCGUCUCCCUUCUCUGGUGAGAACCCAGGUCUCCAGCCAUGCCAUCGUGUUACUCAAUCAGUCCUACCCGAGACAAAAGAAGUGUCAGGGUUAUUUUAACGAUGCCACGCUCUCAGUGGAGUGACCAAGUUCAGCAUUUCUUUGGACCGCAUUCUACCAGCAAUAUAUAGUUAGAUCACUAAUUCGAAAAUGACUUGAAUUCAUUUUUUAAUUGUAGGUAUGUGAUGUGGCCAUCAAUUCAAUUUGAACCUCAGUUCUUUACUCUGUA